UCCUCCCUGUCCAUCUUCUGGUGUGGCUGGCCGGCCGGGGAUAAGGGAGUUGUGGGGAUUAACAUUGGGCCGGCCUUUCGCACAACGGAUGGACUGUGAUAGAAUCUUUGAUAUGCUUCUCUUUUAAUCCGGGUACCGAAAAUGAACUGGGAUUGCUAGAUACGGGCUUAGGGUGAAGAGUCGGCGUUGCAGGAUUUAUUUUAUUUAUUUAGAGAAUUUUUAUGUAUAUCUGAGAAAAUUGACUUUGUAUAAAAGAGGGCAUAUUUUUAUGAUCCUGGUGUAUUUGGAUGUAUUUGGAUUUGUAUAAAUCGAGGAUUUUAUUAUUAUUAGUA